GACGAACGCUGGCGGCGUGCCUAAUACAUGCAAGUCGAACGCAGUGGGGACGGGUGAGUAACACGUGGGUAACCUCCCAUCAGAGGGGAUAACACUUGGAAACAGGUGCUAAACCGAUACUGAUGGAUGAACCCGCGGUGCAUUAGCUAGUUGGUGAGGUAACGGCUCACCAAGGCCACGAUGCAGAGCCAGCCUGAUAGGUUGUGCGUCCACACUGGGACUGAGACACGGCCCAGACCCCUCCUGCAGGCACGACUGGGGAAGUUGCGGCAAUGGACGAAGGUCGCACCGAGCACCGCCGCUUGAGUGUAGAUGGUUUGCGGAGCGGUCUCCUUAUUUGUCAGAGACGCGGUAUCUCACCAGAAAGCCACGGCUAAAUACGUGCCAGCAGCCGCGGUAAUAC
rnacentral:rRNA from 1 species